GUGGGGAAUUUUGGACAAUGGGCGCAAGCCUGAUCCAGCAAUGCCGCGUGCAGGAAGAAGGCCUUCGGGUUGUAAACUGCUUUUGUACGGAACGAAACGGUCCUGGUUAAUACCUGGGGCUAAUGACGGUACCGUAAGAAUAAGCACCGGCUAACUACGUGCCAGCAGCCGCGGUAAUACGUAGGGUGCGAGCGUUAAUCGGAAUUACUGGGCGUAAAGCGUGCGCAGGCGGUGCUGUAAGACAGGCGUGAAAUCCCCGGGCUCAACCUGGGAAUUGCGCUUGUGACUGCAGUGCUGGAGUACGGCAGAGGGGGAUGGAAUUCCGCGUGUAGCAGUGAAAUGCGUAGAUAUGCGGAGGAACACCGAUGGCGAAGGCAGUCCCCUGGGCCUGUACUGACGCUCAUGCACGAAAGCGUGGGGAGCAAAAGGGAUUAGAUACCCCAGUAGUCC
rnacentral:rRNA from 1 species